rnacentral:lncRNA from 1 species
UUGGGUCAAUUUUUAUAGAUACAUAUGCAUUAAAAGUUAUUUUUCUAAACCUCAUUACAAGUAUGGCUUGCAGAAAUUAAUGUCUCUUUUGCUACUUCUGUAGACAUAUUGUGGUUUCUAUUCCUUAUUUGAUUUUUAAUACUUGCCACAGGGUAAAAGUCAUAGUUUUGAUUUACCUGUAAAGAAAAGAAGCGAUAUCUGUACAAUAAUGUAUACUAGCGGAACUACUGGUGACCCCAAGGGGGUAUUGAUAUCCAAUGAGAGUAUUAUUACCCUCUUAGCUGGGGUGAAGCGACUAUUGGAGAGUGUCAAUGAAAAAGUAAGUAUUUAUCUUUUAUAUUUCACUUAAUUUAUGCACUGAACACUCCCUAUGCACAAUUUCUUUUCAUUUAAUUUUUGCAUAUUAUAUUUCUAAUUUCAAAGCUCUGGAUAUAGUUUUUUUUUUCCGGGGUUUAAGAUACUAUAUGCUUAAGUGUCCUUUCUUUGACUUACAAAAUCUCCCCUCUUUUUUCUUUCUUUACAGUUGACUGAGAAGGAUGUGUACUUAUCAUACCUUCCUCUCGCACACAUCUUUGAUAGGGUCAUUGAAGAGACAUUUAUAUGGCAUGGUGGUUCAAUAGGCUUCUGGCGCGGGGUGAGUAUAUGUACCAAACUUUUUGUUACUGAAUUAUAAUUCAUAGUGAUAAUUGAACUUUAAAUUUAAUUUUAUCACCCCAACAAGUCAAAAAUUGGAACUUUUUUGGAUUUGAAUAUGACCUUGUCCAUCAUUUGCACAAUGGCUGCAGGAUGUUAAACUAUUAAUUGAAGAUCUCGGGGAGCUAAAACCAACUAUUUUCUGUGCGGUACCCCGUGUACUUGAUAGAGUGUACUCUGGUAUGCUCUUCUGAUUGUUGUAUGACUGUUUUACCUUUGUAAAUCAUUUCUUGAUAAUUGGAGUGGGAUUUUUCCCCCACAUUUCUUACCGAUUUUUCUGAGCUGCCACCCCUUUUCCCAGCAAGAAAAUAAGUAUAUUAAGAUUCUCAACUUCGAUAUGCAGGUUUGACACAGAAAAUUUCUUCUGGAGGCUUCCUGAAGAAGACAUUAUUCAACUUUGCUUAUUCAUAGUAAGUACUAAUGAACUGUCAUGGGUCCUCUAUAAGAUAUUAGGAAACUGUGAGCGUUCCUUUGUCAAAUCACGCAGAAAUUAUCUUUUAGAUUGGUGUUAAUUUUCUUAAUUAGGUUGUUAAAUUUAACUAUUGUUCUUCCCAGUAAGCAUUGCAAUAUUCUAAAUAACAUAAGCUCUGAGAAUUUAUCGCAGUAAGUUGAAUAACAUGAAGAAAGGACAAAACCAUGCAGUAGCAUCUCCACUUCUUGACAAAAUUGUGUUCGAUAAGGUAGUAAAGUUUACAAAUAUUAAUUAAUUACCAGCCGCAGUUUGACAGCAAUGUAUUUUCUCUUUUGGCUGAUCUGGUUUUGCAAUUUUAUUAGGUGAAGCAAGGUUUAGGGGGUAGUGUACGUCUUAUUCUGUCUGGAGCAGCACCUCUAUCCUUGCAUGUGGAAAGUUACCUACGUGUGGUGACUUGUGCUCAUGUCCUACAAGGAUAUGGUAUGCAAAAAGCACAUAGAUAUAUAGCUGAAUAUUUUAUAUGUGUUUAGCCAAGUCUAGAUUCGUAUUUCAAUUGCUAAAUAUAUGGAUAUAGACUGUUGAUUAAUUUGAGAUGAGCUGUGACAAUUAGCGAAUUAAUUUUAGUUUUAAUGCAUGUUUAUAGAAAAAUAAAUAGUCUAACUGAAAUCUAUGUGGAAAUUAUUCUGAUGUUUCUUCACUCCAAUGCAGCAUAUGUAAUAAUGUAGGUAUCAGCACAUGUACCAUGGACUUCACUAAUGUGUCUUUGUUGAAAUGAAAACAGGUCUGACUGAAACCUGUGCGGGAACCUUUGUCUCAUUACCAAAUGAACUAGAUAUGCUUGGAACAGUGGGUCCUCCUGUACCAAAUGUGGAUGCGUGCCUGGAAUCUGUUCCUGAAAUGGGUUACGAUGCCCUUGCAAGCACGCCAAGAGGAGAAAUUUGUGUAAAGGGAGAUACCUUGUUUUCGGGGUACUACAAACGCGAAGAUCUCACAAAAGAGGUUCUGGUUGAUGGAUGGUUCCAUACAGGUUAUUGGUGUUUUCCAAAAUUGAACUAUAUAGAUACUAUUUAAAUUGGCUGUUGGAUCACAUUUUGAAGUUUAUAUUCUUUUAAAUUGUGUGAUUUAUUCAACAGGGGACAUUGGAGAGUGGCAACCUAAUGGAAGUAUGAAGAUUAUUGAUCGGAAGAAGAAUAUAUUCAAGCUUUCCCAAGGAGAAUAUGUUGCCGUUGAAAACCUGGAGAAUAUUUAUAGCCAAGUUCCUUCUGUUGAAUCUGUAUGUCUUGAGAGCCCUUCAUAUGGUUUUAGUGUCCUAGCUUGUAGUGAAAUUAUUCCCCAUAUAAAGUUGAAAAAAAUAUCUUUUUACUCUUUCUACUUGAAUUAAAUUUAUUGGUUCAUUAUAGAAUUAUAGAAACCGUGCCCUUGAUGGGCUUGGGACAAAUGGGGCCAAUCUUGAGCAGCUAAUAUUUUUAGCUCAGUUUGAUAAUUUUUAAUUACGGAAUUCAAAAUAUAAGCAAGCUUUAGACCGAUCAUCAGUUAAUGCAGAGACACCAAUCUCUCUUGCCUAUAAUCCAAAUUGCAUUCUUAUUUCUUGCUGGACAUAUAGUUCUAUAACUGUACUGAGCUUUAAAUUUUCACCAGCAGCAUGUGUACGUUGCCCAUAGUCCUAUGCGUUGUUGUGCACAGAUUCUGGUCCAUAUUGGUAUACUUUACAUUAGUAUCCGCAUUCUAUAGUUCAUUAUGAUCGUUUGUCUAAUAGAUAGGACUGUUCUUGUUGCAUUAGUAGCUGUACAAUUAUUCAUUGUGACAUCCAUAUGUAUCAGCUCAUAAACACAAAAAUAGUCUACUAUUAGCUUCAUUUCAUGAGUUAAAAUCGUUCUGUUCCAUGCUGAUUUGAACUUUUAUUCCUCCUGUCUCAGAUAUGGGUUUACGGAAACAGUUUUGAGGCCUUCCUUGUUGCUGUUGUUAACCCCAGCAAACCAGCACUUGAACAUUGGGCAGAAGAAAAUGGUAUAUCCGUGGACUUCAAUUCUCUCUGUGGAGAUUCUAGGGCAAAAGGUUACAUACUUGAUGAGCUCUCAAAGAUUGGAAAGGAAAAGAAGGUUCUAUCUAAUUUAAAUUUCUUAUUUUUGUUCUAAUUUGUUAUGUAUGGAGUGUGUGUAUGCAUAUAUCAUGACGAUAAAAUUUCACAUUUUUAAAGGGGGUUUUCUACAAAUAUCAGAACUAUUAAUAAUUUCCACACAACAUACUUUUUUAGAAAGUAGCCUUUUCAACGUAAUAUUAAAUGCCAACCAUCUAAUCUUAUAUUUUUAGUUUCAAAUGCUAGUAAAAAAAUUUGUACUAAUAUUUAACACAAUAUUUGCAUAGUUAACUAAGAUUCAAUGAUUGGAUGGCCCAAAAUAUUUUUUCAGAGGAUUUUUUAAGUGGUGUGUGUAUGGUCUUAUGUUUGCACCAAUUGAUUCUAUUCUACAUGCAUACCUGUUUGCAUGCAUAAGUACAUGUCCUGAAAUUUUAUGCGAUGAUGGAUAUGUUUUUGACAGUUGAAAGGAUUUGAGUUCAUAAAAGCAGUCCAUCUUGACCCAGUUCCAUUUGAUAUGGAACGUGACCUUAUCACUCCAACAUAUAAGAAGAAGAGGCCCCAGUUGCUUAAAUACUAUCAGGUAAAAGUUGUCAAAUUCUCAGGAUUUCAUUUCUGCUUCAAAAAUUAUUUCUGCUUUAUUAUUAUUGGAAUGGAUAGAAUGAGCUGUCUUUGUGUAUAUAACCUUUUUUUUCUUCCGGAUAUUUUCGUUCGACUGAGCAUAUAUAACUGAACACAGGUGUAGAAAUCUCAUCUGAUUGAGUUGACCAAGAGUCAGUUUUUAGAUGUCAUCUGCACCCAUGUUAUUAGAUUAGAUGUGAAUCAUAGUGCAACUGAUGUGCCCUGUUUCACUAUUAAUAUCAUAUUAGUUAUGAAUCAGUUACAUUACAGUUCAGUUAAAGUAGUCACUUCACUUACACUUGGCUUGUACAAGUACCUGUUCACAUAAGAAAGUUUGUUUCUUCUCGUAUUUCAUGUAUAGGUGUAGUUAACUAGUUAUGUGCCAAACAGACUUGAAACUGAACACUCGACAUGGUAGCUGAAUCCUAAGUAAUUUGGAAUACCUAACGUGAAUGUGUAAGUAAACGAGUAAAAUGUUUACAAGUGAUUAUCCUCUAAUUAAUAGUUGUUAGCAUACAAUUCUAUUUCCACUUCACUUUCAAUUGCAAUUUUCCAUUGCACUUUUAACGUUUCAAAGCCUGUUUUAAGGACUUAAUAAUUUCUGUAUUCUGAAAGCACUGACUGCUAUUUUAUUUGUGGCACAGAAUGUUAUUGAUGACAUGUACAAAAGUGGAAAUAAACCCCGUGCCUGAGAGAUGCUUUUGGAGUUGGUGCCAUGCCAUGUAGAUAAUUCAUUUUCUGCAUGUGAUUGUGCUUGCCUUUGUUCAUUUAUUAUUUCCUUUUGGUUAUUGUCUGUACAUAUGAUUAUGAAGAGACGGCAGAUGAUCUGCCUCACUCAACCGUGAAAGAUACGAUAAUACAAAGUUUAAACAAAUUGUUUUCUUCACCUCUAGCAAUAUUCGUUGCAAACUUUUGUUAGGAAAAUAAAAUAUUAUUCCAUUCCUUAUCAAAAUUAACAGUGGUGUAGUUCUUGUUUUUUACUUAGUGAUGUUUUCAAAGAUUUAUACAAUAAGCAGUGAAUGUGAAUUAUAACUGUUUGUUUUAAUGUUUAUAAUUGAUUGGUUGGACACUCCUUACUCUUUCUUGUUAGUUCUUCUGAAAGCAGUUCCAGAAUCCACCAUUCAUAUAAUGGAGAAUGUGUUUUUAAAGCUAGAGUAUCUCAAUCAUCUUAUAAUGGCUGUGGAGUUGUAUUCAGUGCAGUGAUAAUUUUUCUCAUGUUACUCAUUUGUGGGAUUUUCUCUUUUGUGGUAACACGAAGUGCCUCACGGACCAUGGUGACGUAUUAAACAGGGCACAGGACAAAUCAUCUAUUAGGGAAUAAAUUGGGAACUACAACACCUUCAUUUGAUAUUUUACAAUUACAUAAAUGGUAUUGUAGCUUCUUUUGAUACAUGAGAGUUUGGUGGAUGUAAAAAGAGAUAAUAAGGGACGUUAAUAAGAAAAUAAAGAAAUCUACAACUCGAGAGCUGGAAGCAAACACUCAAAAAGCAGAUUUUUAAAGCUGGCACCUUCACGUGUAGCUGUGUUGAUGGAAUCAUCAUUCAUUAUCCAUCGUACACGAGCUUAGAUUGAGAUUUUGUAUCACUUUAACGUUGCUAAGAAGAAUAUAAGAAAACAAGAUCGGGAUACACCAAUAAAGGAUCGAAAAUUUAAGGUUUUUGCGUUUAUUACGAAAUGUGAACCCUGUGGUAGUGUGGCUAUGUUCCAGAGUUGGAUUUUGGAGACAAAUGGAGAAAGAGUUAAUUUACAUUUUUUAACUGUUAUUUUUCUUUUACCCCGACAAGCUUAAGGUGACAAUGGAGUAAAUACAAUCAUGAAUGCGAUGAAAAAAGUUUCGAGGAACAAGUUAACCCAAAAACACAACCUGACUCUGAACUCCAACAGUUACACAGCUAGGACACAUAAAAAAACAUGAAAUUAAACAUUACCAAGACAGCCAAAAAAAAAAAAAAAAAAAAAAAACAUGAAUUUAAAUACAACCCCAUAUACCCAAAAAUCAAAAUUUGAAAUUCAAAAAUUGGAAAAAAGAAAAGGGGGAAGAAUGAAAAUCAACAGAAAAAGAACCUUCUUGGAAGCGCGAGUGAGAUUUUGUUGUUGAACCGUUCGUUUCAUAAACACAAGCUUCCAACAAUUUCGUAUUCUUCACAAAGGUAUAAUUAGUGUGAAAUUCACAAAAUUGGUUUGUGUUUUGUUUCUUAUGAGCGGAAUCGGGAAGGGAUGGUUUCGUCUAGUUCUUAAUGAAGGUCAAAGUGUAAAAUGAGGAUAGAUCUACUAGAAGAAAUGAAGAAUACAUAUACAUAUUCAUCAUUUUUUAAACCCAUAACAAUUAAUCAUGAAUAGAUGAAGGUUUAGUUUUUUUUUUUUUUUUUUUUUUUGGUUGGAUCGGAAGAGAUGAAGAUAUAAUGAUUGAUAUGAAGGAUGAAGAUGAAGAAAUGAAAGUUUAUUUUUUAUUUUUUUCAUUUAUUUAAUUUAGAAAAUAAUUACAUGACUAUUUUAUUUUAUUUUAAUUCAAUAAUUACACAUAUGGCUUGCCAUGCAAGUGUUAACUUGGUCAAAUUGACCAAAAAGGCUAAUAUGGUAAAUGAUGCUAAUUCAUAGAGGACUAAAUUUGUUAGUUUUUUUUUUUUUUAAUAAGAGUCAAAAUUACAACAUUUAAAAUGUUAAGAGGCCAAAAGUACACUUAAACUAAAACAAAUAUCUACAUUGUUAUUUAUAGUACAAUCAAUUUUAAGUCAAAACAAAACCUAUGACCGACCGACCAAUCGAAAAGGCAGUGACAAUACACAAUAAUUUGGAUAAAAAGACAACCAAUCAGAUAUAUUCUCUCAAGAGAAAAGAAAAAUCCAUUAGAUAUAUUUAGGGAUGUAAAUGAAUAUCCAUAGAUGUGUAGAUAGUGUGAUAUCCGUGUACGUUCUGUUGGACAAAUAUAAAAUCCGCGCCCUAUCCAUACCCACGCAAAUAUCCGUUUAGCGGGUAAUCCAUGGAUUUUGAGGUAUAUGCGGGUUUAUACAGAUAUCCAUGGAUAACAUUUAUUAAAAAAAAAAAACUUGUUAAUUUUUUUUAGCUAGAAUUUAAAAACAAAAGUUCAUCACAUGCAUUUUCUUUUCUUUUUAGCAAAACAUAAUAUCCGUACAUCAUAAUAACACAAAGAUCAUUGACUCAACAAAAACAUAAUUAACGUUCCUUAUAUUUAAUAAAAAUAAAGUUCUUUGAUCUGAAAAAUUAAAUAAAGCUUAUCAUAUUCAACAAAAACAAAGCUUCUUGCUUCAACAAUCCCGACCACUUUCCCUUCAUUUUAAAGGAGCGUAAUACAUACUUGAACAGUCGUGCAAUAACUAAUAACAACUCACUAACGAAGUUUGUUGCUUAGGAAUUUGAAUGAUAUUAAAGUUAUUUAUAAAAUUUACUCGAUUUAAUAGCGGGAUAGAUAUCCCCGGAUGCGGGUACCAUUAAAUCUGCAUCCGUAUCCAUUAAUUAGUGGGUAGUUUAUCCAUGGAUAUCCGUUAAAGUAUCCACUCCAUAUCCGUGACGGAUUUUAUCCAUGAAUAUUUACGGGUGCGGAUUUUUUUUUCAUCCCUCAGGACAUUUGUUUGUUUGUUUGUGUUGUAUUAAACAUUUUUCAAUUUACCAAAAAGAAGAGGACAACAUUUUAGUUUUACUCACUUGCAUGAGUCUUUUUUCAAAGUGACUUAGAUCGAGAGUUGAGAAUACAUGGCAUAGACUGUGAUAGACACAAUUUAAAAAAAUCAAUAUGUCAACUUUGAUUAAGACUCAAUUUUAACCAGCAAUUACGCUGAGCGCUCAUAUUUCUUCUCUCAUUUUCCAUAAUAAUACCUUUCUCUCUCCUUUUCUUACUUUUUCCUAUGCAUGCAUCCACCGCUAAAACGUGUUCUAGUGGGAGAACUGUUCUCUACAGUGUCAUCCACCUUAUUGAUCUCCAAUGCAUACAACAUAAGCACAUGUUCUUGUAUUCUAAGAACACUAAGAAAUAACAUUUAAAAUUUCUCAUUCUCCGCUUAACUUAACCAUUUUUCUCAUCGCGAUCAUCGUUGAGCCAUGGCGCAGAAAAGAUUCAUCAUUGAGGUUGAAAAAGCGAAGGAAGCAACGGAAGAUAAACCUUCAAGAGGACCUGCGUAUCGUAGCAUCUUCGCUAAAGAUGGUUUUCCUCCUCCUAUUCUUGGUCUUGAUAGUUGCUGGGAUGUUUUUCGGUUAGUUUUUCAUCUUUAUUUCGAUGCAAAUCUAUAUUCAUUUCAUCAAUUUUAUGUGAAUUUGAUAGUGUGAUGACUUGAGUUGAAGUUAUUCGUUCCUUAUUUAAUCUUCAUUUCAUUUUUCUUUCUAUGUACAUAAUUAGUAGAUUGAGUAAGACUAGCUACACUCUCUCUUUAAUACUAUUGUGUGAGUCUACACUUUGAAAAUUGAACUAGAUCAUAUUCUGUUUAUUUAAAUUAUUUUAAUUUUCGUUGAAUUUUUAUGCUAAUUUGCAAAUCAUAGCUCUCUGAUCUGAAUCAUCAUAAUAUCAUAACUAGUUGUAACAUUCAGAGUGAGUAAAUCAUAUUUUGUUAUAUUUGGUUUCUCAAAUUUUCUUUCUAACAUUGGAGAAAUAGUGUUUACUAAUCUUUUAUGUGUGUGCGCGCGCAUAGAGGACUUGAAUAUUUGAUUUAAAGUUCGAUUGUUAUAGUUUUUUUAAGAAAAAAAAAUCACUUUUAAGGUGUUGCAUCGUUUGUUACCACUUUUUAAUAAAAUCAGAAUCUAAAAACAGUUUCUUAAUAAGAAACUGUUAAGAGCAGUUUCUAGAAAAAAUAGAUUUUUUUUAGUGGAGAGAGAAAAUAUGGUUUAAAAUAUUAAAUUAAUUUUGUAACAAAAAAUCUCUUUUAUAAGUUUGUAUCCAAACAAACUAAAUUAUUUGUUUAUACGGUAAACAAACAAACGUAAAAUAGAUUCUGAUUUUUCAUAAAAUCUCUAAAAUAUAAUCUCUAAAUUAUUUUAUGUCAAAAUCACUUUUAUUUUAAUCCGUAACAAACCAGCCUUUAAUUUUGGCUCGAUUUUGGACUAAGUAUAAGUCAUGUAUUACUUCAGUUUAAGUUAAUGUUAAAAGAAAAUAAGUGUUGUAUGUGCAGAUCGCGACAAAUAGAGGUUCUGUUAUAACGUCGUAUAGCCGCUGUUUGACAAGAUUUUGUAAUAAUAAAUAGCUUAUCAUGGAACAAUACCUAUUUCUUCAAAUUCUGCUAUACUAUAGUUUUGCUUUUUAACAACACUAGCAAAAAUUUGGACCUGUAUUGAUAAGAAAUUAGUCGUUUCAGUUCUAAUUGUAUCAGUGCUUUUACAGAUUGUCUGUUGAGAAAUAUCCAAAUAAUCCUAUGCUUGGUAGCCGAGAGAUUGUGGACGGGAAGGUAAAGUAUUGGUUACUGUAUAAAUCUUUAAUUUUUUAUUUUUGGAAAUUUUCAUGCCAUAGCUUGACUGGUCAUGGAUUUUGACUUAUUUAAAUGCUCGCAUGUUAUUAUUACACUUAACAGCAUGGCAAGUACAAGUGGCAAACAUACAAAGAAGUAUAUGACAUGGUGAUCAAAGUCGGAAAUUCUAUCCGCAGCUGUGGUUAUGGAGAAGUAAGUCUUCUGUCUCUUCUCUUGAUUACCAGAAAAUGAAACCUUGUUUUGUUUUUGGUUAUUUUAAUAGCAUUUUCUUCUUUGUAUGUUUUUCAAAUUCUUGGAUUCUCUGUACAUGUUGGGUUGUUCAUUAUUUAAUAUCUACAAUCAGCAUUGACGUGCAAUGUUAAAAUUGUGUGGUUUCAUGCAAUUGGUAGCUUCAGAUACCUCUUAUUUUAUUUCUUUGAACAUUUAUUAUUGAUAAUGUUACUAUCUGCAUCAUAAAUAGUUCAAUAGUUAUUCACUUACCAAGAACAUGUUCAUGUGAGUUCAAUUGCUUAACUCAUUGUCACAGAUUUUUCUGAUGAACUUAAGCUGACAAAUUUGCCUAAUAUGAUUUUGACAUUUCACUUUUGCAUAUACUAAUUAUUUAUAUUGAUUAGUUUUUUUGAGCUUAAUUCGUAUAUUUCUGGUUUGCAGGGUGUAAAAUGUGGUAUUUAUGGUGCCAAUUCUGCAGAGUGGAUUAUGAGCAUGGAGGUACAUUUUAUUUUGAAUUUCUUUCGUCUUGGUUUUCUUUUAAAUUUUUCCAAUUCUAAACCGUUUUUUUUCCCCAAUCUUUCUCUUGCCGCCUGAUUGACUGAUGCCUCCCAUUGAAGGUCUUAUUUUGUGGUUUCAAUCCCUUACAUGGCAGCACGAAAUUAGGGAAAAGUUCCUUAUUGUGUGAUCCAGCCCAGCCCAUCUGUGAGGCAUUGUGAUUUUUUCUUCCAAAUAUUGAGUCAGUUCAACGGACCCCAAGAGUCGAGACGUCAUCCAUGUUAUGCACUCUCAUUUGGAACCUUAUUUCCGAUUUAAAUCCCCCAAAAUGUAUCCUAAGAGUUGUUCAUCUUGAACGACUCCAUCUUGCACUUCGAAGUUCUACACAUGCUCCUCCACUGAGUCCGUCCGAUCCAAUGUGUCCAACUUUUUCCCUCUUGUUUCUCCCUAAACCUUCUAAUCAAAGUCAUUGUAGAGGCUUUGCAACCAGUUAUAGGCUUUAAUUGAGCAAAAACUGAAAUUGAUUGUUGUCGCGCUUCCCAUUUUCUAGAUAUUAAUUUGUAAGGCAACUGCAGUUUCGCUGCCAAACUUUGCACCUCAAAGAUUUUCUCCAACUCUGCAAUCAACUUUCCUUCUCCAAGGCUCCAACUUUGUCCACACCUUCCCGGAUCCGAUUUGUACUCUUCUAACCUCCUUUUCAUUUACCUAUCCUAUUAACCCAUUCCAACACAAUACAUCUGUUUUUCAACUGUCCUUCCCUUACCUCUCCUAGAAUACACUUUUAAUGCCCUCUCUCCUUAAUACAAUACAUUCACUCUGUUGCAGAUUAUGGUAAUAUUUGUUUUUUUUUUUUUUGGUUUUAUACCCGUUCUUAUUUAUUUCUUUGUCUCCUAUGUUUUCUUUUGGUUUUUAUUGUCUGUCAGUAGUCCUUGUUGAAUAUAAAGGGCAAUAAGUUGUUUCUUGAUUGAAACUCUGUUUCAUCUUUUGAAUGUCUACUUUCUACAGUGUUCUGCUUCUAUUAUUUAUUGCUCUUGUGCUUUCGCAGUGCUGUUAGUGGACAUCCCUGGUCGCCUUGUUAUAGUAUUCCUUUUACUAGCUUCUUCCACUCGAUUGUUAUAAAGUUUUAAAUAUUCAAAUAAUUGCAGGCUUGCAAUGCUCAUGGACUUCAUUGUGUUCCUUUAUAUGAUACCUUAGGUAUGUGUAAACGUUUAGCAUGUUUGUACACAGUGAUGGUGCUUUGUCCGCAAUUAGCAAUUGAAUUUUGGUUUCCAAACCUGUUGUACAUGAGAUUUUACACUUUGAUGUUAUUAGAAAAGUUGCAACGUUUUUGUCAAUAUGGCAUUUUUUGCUGACUUUCACCCAAGCUCACCAAUUUAUGCGAAAAACUUACCUGUACUAUUAACAAAGUUCCUUAUAUUUUGAUAAAAAAAAUAUGCAAGUUCUAAAUUCACACAUUAUUAAGAACUUUGAUGUCUAUCUGGCAUAUUUUUGUUUUUAUCCCUUGUGAUUUUAUAAAAAAAAAAAGUGAUUUCAUUGAUCAAUUCUUUGAAAAUCUUACCUACUUUAUGAGCAAAGUUUUUUUUUUUUAUUGCUGAAAAAUUACUAAACCUUCACCGAAAUUUGUCAGUUGCCUAAAAUUGUGAUAAACUAUCUCACAGCAAUAAUAACUUGUUUGAAAUUUAUUACAGUACUAUGCAGGAAAUUAGUGGGACUCACACUUUGGAAAUGAGUUAUAAAUAAAGUGGUGGGACCCAUGUGGAUUUGACCCGAUAAAAUGUGGGUGUUAAAAGAGUGUUUUUAGCAUUUAAUACUGGUUGAAUGUCCCAUAGUCUAGAUAUUAAUCAGUAUUUUGGUAGGUUAUUUUUCCACUUCGCCGAAAAUAAAUGCCAUUCUAAUAUUUUCAAAUUCAGUUUUCUAAUUUUGAAUUUCCAAUUAUCACUGGUUUUGACACUCUCAAACAUAUAUGACUUAGGUUCUGGGGCCAUAGAAUUUAUUAUAUGCCAUGCAGAGGUCUCAAUUGCAUUUGCAGAAGAAAAGAAGAUACCUGAGGUUCAUCUAUUGAAAUAAUCUAUUUCUUAGUAGUUUAUUUUUGGGAAGGAUCAGAGAGUUGAAUACACUUUUCUUUGAACAGUCUGUCUGAUCCCUAUCUUUAUUUUAAAAACUUUUCAGCUAUUGAAGACAUUUCCAAAUGCAACCAAAUAUCUCAAGAGUAAGUGUUUUUUAUUAUCUUCUUUCUUUGCUAAAAUACAUGUGCUUUAGAGAGAAGCAAUGACUUUUAUGUUUCUAUACAGCAAUUGUGAGCUUCGGAAAGGUUACCCCUGAACAAAAGCAAGAAGUUGAAAAGUUCGGACGGGCAAUAUAUUCAUGGACUGAAUUUUUACAAUUGGUGAGUUAUUCAUUUCAUGUAUUAUUACUCGUUCUACUCUUACUUGAAAAUUGGACAUGAAAGCUGCUCCAUGUAUAAUCAAUUGGCAUUGCCUGCAAUUGCUGAGCCCCUUUGCAGCAUAAAUAGUUGGUUGAGUUGUAUCACUAUCUUGGUCCACCGGCAGUUAGUCUAAGUAAUAGCGGAAUGUGUGGAAAGAAAUAAGUUAACAUAAUUGUUAGUUGUUACGCAAUUCAAGUAAGAAAAAUAAGGAUGAUAUCAGGUCAAUGGAAACUAAUGCAUUGUUUGAAUAGUUGACUUGGGUCAAUUUUUGUAGAUACAUAUGCAUUAGAAGUUAUUUUUCUAAACCUCAUUACAAGUAUGGCUAGCAGAAAUUAAUGUCUCUUUUGCUACUUCUAUAAACAUAUUGUGGUUUCCAUUCCUAAUUUGACUUUUAAUACUUGCCACAGGGUGAAAGUCAGAGUUUUGAUUUACCUGUAAAGAAAAGAAGCGAUAUUUGUACAAUAAUGUAUACUAGCGGAACUACUGGUGACCCCAAGGGAGUAUUGAUAUCCAAU